rnacentral:rRNA from 1 species
UAGUCUCGCACAGAUGCAUAUCAAUAAGCGGAGGAAAAGAAACUAACAAGGAUUCCCCUAGUAACGACGAGUGAAGCGGGAAGAGCUCAAAUUUGAAAUCUUAAAGGGUUUCCCUUUACGAAUUGUAGUUUAAAGAAGUGUUUUCUGUUGAGGUUUUGGUAAAAGUUCUUUGGAAUAGGACAUCAUAGAGGGUGAGAAUCCCGUAUUUGACCUUUACUUUCAACUUUGUGAUACACUUUCAAAGAGUCGGAUUGUUAUGGGAAUGCAGUCCAAAAUGGGUGGUGAAAUUUCAUCUAAAGCUAAAUAUUGGCGAGAGACCGAUAGCGAACAAGUACCGUGAGGGAAAGAUGAAAAGAACUUUGAAAAGAGAGUUAAACAGUACGUGAAAUUGUCAAAAGGGAAGCGUUUGACACCAGUGUUGUUUUUCUGAAAAUCAAUUAAAGAACUGUUUAUGCUAAGUUGUUUAGACUUUAUCAGCUAACUGUUUAGUUUUGAGCUUUUCUUUAAUGCACUUUUCAGUUAACAAGUCAACAUCAAUUUCUUUUGCUGUAAAAAAGCUUGAGGAAGGUGGCUUGAGAUUCGUCUUAAGUGUUUAUAGCCUCUUGCCUAUGCAGUCGGAGAGAUUGAGGUCUGCAGCGUAGAUCCUUCGGGGCUAAAUGCAUUUGUGCUAAGUUAUAGCAUUUCAUAGACAACUUGUUGACUAUGAUUUGUCUUGUAGCUUACUCGCUUAUGUUAUUUUACCUACGCUUAGGAUGUUGACAGCAGUAUAGACUGU